rnacentral:rRNA from 1 species
UUCUGGCUCAGGAUGAACGCUAGCUACAGGCUAACACAUGCAAGUCGAGGGGCAUCAUGGAGUUUGCUUGCAAACUCUGAUGGCGACCGGCGCACGGGUGAGUAACGCGUAUCCAACCUUCCCUAUAGUAGAGGAUAGCCCGGCGAAAGUCGGAUUAAUACUCUAUGUUUUCCGUUGCAGACAUCUAAGAUGGAACAAAGGCUUGCCGCUAUAGGAUGGGGAUGCGUCUGAUUAGGUAGUCGGCGGGGUAACGGCCCACCGAGCCAUCGAUCAGUAGGGGUUCUGAGAGGAAGGUCCCCCACAUUGGAACUGAGACACGGUCCAAACUCCUACGGGAGGCAGCAGUGAGGAAUAUUGGUCAAUGGGCGAGAGCCUGAACCAGCCAAGUUAAGCGUGCAGGACGACGGCCCUAUGGGUUGUAAACUGCUUUUAUGCGGGGAUAAAGUUCACUACGUGUAGUGUUUUGUAGGUACCGCAUGAAUAAGGACCGGCUAAUUCCGUGCCAGCCGCGGC